GACGAACCGUGCGAACGUUGUUCGGAAUCACUGGGCUUAAAGGGCGCGUAGGCGGGCUCACAAGUCUGGGGUGAAAUCCCACGGCUCAACCGUGGAAGUGCCUUUGAUACUGUGGGUCUUGAGGGAGGUAGGGGCGUGCGGAACUUCCGGUGGAGCGGUGAAAUGCGUAGAUAUCGGAAGGAACACCGGUGGCGAAAGCGGCGCGCUGGACCUCUACUGACGCUGAGGCGCGAAAGCCAGGGGAGCAAACGGG
rnacentral:rRNA from 1 species